CCAAAGGCACUCUCCCGGCUUUCAUCUCAGUAAUGGCCUGCAGGCUGGAGCAGGACACAGGGGGUUAAAAAGUGGGGCUCAGAACCUGCCUUUUGGCCUGACUCACUCCAUCACCCCAAGGGCCCUCCAAAUGAGUUUCCUGGGGCAGUGCCUUUAUCACUGGAGCACACUCACGGAUGGACUUCCCGGCCCCGGGAUUCUCACUCGGAGACCUCUCAUGCGCUCUCGACCCAGCACGGGCCCCGUGCCCCUUCUCCCGCUCCAUCCCCGCCUUGUCCAAUGGGGCAGCACACCACGGACCCCGACUCCACACAGCCAGCCCCAUUAAUAAAGAGUUAAGAAAAUUCAUUAGGAAGUAGGUCUUUUAUAGAUUCCAUUAAAGCCUUCUUCCUACUUCUGUCACUGAGAAAGGAUAAAAAUCCUUUUAUCACUCUACAACUUGUUAAUGUCCCACCCCGGGAGCGUUUCAUCUGCAAUAAACAUCUUCACAAAAUAUGCAUCCCCAGGGAGGAGCCGUUAAUUUCCUCAAGGCCUCACACAUGUAAGGGAUUUUAUUGCCUGCAGGUGCUUCAUGAUAUUGUGUGAGCUUCUAAUAAACGUCCAGUAAACCGCAGGUAGCGCCUCGGAGAGAGAUGGGCCCAUGCACCUGUCCACAAAGGGCCUCCACGCACCGCGCCUUCACCUUCUGUGGCCCAGCCCUGGCACGGUCAGCUCCUGAGCCCAGCCUGCCCCUCGGGACGCCCGCAGCUAAGACAAAGAUGUUGAAGACGAAUUGUUUGAAUGAAGCAAUCAGGAAAAAAAUAUUUGCAGAGUCAAGAAAGAUCAACAGAACAUGAAAAAAGGAAACAUGAAAAAUAAAAUACACACUAGAAAAAGUCUUUAUAUGAGAUUUUCUUUAAAAUAUUUUAACAUUUGACCUUCUACCUCGGUGUGCUAUUCUAAUCCCAUUUAGUUUCAAAAUGCCAUAACUAUCAGUGUGCAGAUGGAUGGGCUUUUUAAAAAAUGCCGUAACUAGAACUUCAAAUCUUGACCACUUUUUCUUACUUUUCCC
rnacentral:lncRNA from 1 species